UCCGGUUUGUCACCGGCAGUCCCAUUAGAGUGCUCAACUAAAUGUGGCAACUAAUGGCAAGGGUUGCGCUCGUUGCGGGACUUAACCCAACAUCUCACGACACGAGCUGACGACAGCCAUGCAGCACCUGUGUGGGGAGCUUGAUUGCUCAAGAAAGACGAUCUCUCGUCCGGUCUCCCCCAUGUCAAGCCUUGGUAAGGUUCUUCGCGUUGCGUCGAAUUAAACCACAUGCUCCACCGCUUGUGCGGGCCCCCGUCAAUUCCUUUGAGUUUCAGUCUUGCGACCGUACUCCCCAGGCGGAUUACUUAACGCGUUAGCUGCGGCUCUGGACCGUUGACGGGCCCAAAACCUAGUAAUCAUCGUUUAUGGCAUGGACUAC
rnacentral:misc_RNA from 1 species